CAGGAAGGAGGCUGGCAGAGCUCCCUGCAGCAGAGCAGAACAUCCAGCACAGCUUUUGCAAGGUAUAGAAUGGUGUGGGCAUCUGCAAUUCCCAGAAAAUGAACAUUGAACAUUGGCUCCUGAUCAUUUGGUUUGCCAGCAAGCUUAUUCAAGACCUGGAAGUCAGAUAUUUACUUAGACGGUCAAACUGUAGCACAAAUCUUAGGCUUGAAGUCAAUGCUAAAUUAUAAUCACCUUCUCUGUCUCUGCCUAAAUUAUAAUCACCUUAUAGAUCUCUGCCUGUCCUAAUUUGCCAGCAGGGAAGUAUAAAGGAAGCAUGGAUCAGAGAGCUUGUGCUCAUUUUGCCACCCACUGGGUGGUAAUUCAAUUAUUGUUUACUUUCCCUUUUCUCACAUUUUUCUCUCUGCUUGUGAGCAGGCCGGGGGUGGUCAGGGAGACUUAUUUGAACUUUUUCAAAGGAUAGCAUUCUCUCCCUUGCUCUGGCUUCAGCCAGGGAGAGAAACAAAAAAGUUCUCUCAAUACUGGCCCUCUUAAACAGGACACAGAAAACAAUUCUGAGUGCCAGAAUAGCUAACGUUUGGGGGGGGGGGAGGAGGAGGAGAGGAAGGAGAAGGAGAAGAAGGGGAAGAGGAAGGGGAAGAAGCAGCAGCAGCUUUCCAAGGGAAUCCCCCUUCACAAAAAUUUCUUCAUUAGCAAAAUAAGUGUACUAGAGGUAGAAUGAAAUAUCUUCUAGGGAAGAAAUUUUGUGUGUGUGUGUGUGUGUGUGCGCACGCGCUCAGCUCUGCACAGAGCUGGGAACAUAUAUACAUGCCAAUCUCCCUGAAAAAGAUGAACAUAAAAUUUUAGUUACUUAACUACUUAACUUUUAAAUAUUACUUAAGCCAGAGGGAAAGCUGUGAGAUCAGACUGAAGUUGUGCUCCCUGAAAAGCUUUCUCUCUGUCUUAAGCACUUGUAUCUGAAGACAAUUAUGUUGUUUUGUAAUGCUGUACCAUAUAAUUACAGAGAUGCAUUAAACAAUUAAAACGUUUAGCUAACCAAAAUGCUAACUCAGUUUUUUAAAAGUAGCCUUUUCUAUUGAACUCUACCACCUAAGACGUUUAAUAAUUCUGUCAAGAACAUAAAUAAGCACUGGUGUUUAAUUAGCCUCAUUUUUCUUUUCUUUUUAAAAAAAAACCUUAACCCCCCCCCCUUCCCCCCCUUGGAGAUUCAUGAUGUUGGCAGGAUGAUGGGGUGGGGUGAUGGAAAUGCACAAAUGUUAAGAACCUGAGAGAAGGUAAGCAGGUCAGCUAUAGUUGAUACAUAUAUAUAUAUAUAUACACACACACACACACACACACACAGAGUGGUCCCUCGACUUACGUAGUUAAUCUGUUCCGAACAGACGUUCGUAAGUCGAAAUUUUCGUAGGUCGAAAAGCGCACCCACGGAGGUCUGGAAACACUCGUAAGUCGAGGAAACCGCAUCUAAAAAUUCGUAAGUCGAGGAAGCCAAAUCUAAACCGCCAACUACUUCCAGUCUUUUUUGGCGUUCGUAAGUCGAAAACGUUGGUUGUCGAGUAGUUCGUAGGUCGAGGGACUACUGUAUAUGCAUUUUGUUUCCUCUUUAAUGUUGCAUCUUACAUUGUAGUUGUAUAUUGACUGAGCUACAAUAUUGCCUCUGAAUAUUCACACAUAUUCUAACUGCUCAGGGUGAAUGCUCACAAAUAGUGUGGCUGAGAGGGCUUGAAAGGUCAAUUUGGCUAGGAGGAAAACUCCAUACAGGUUCUGUGUAGAAAAGCCUAGUUCUGCUAAUAGAAGGAAGGUGCCAAAAAGGGAAGUUGAUAAUUUGGCUAGUGAAUGAGAUUGGAAGUUGAGAACUUGGCUAGUGAAUGAGAUUGCAGAUGGCUUAAGGAAGCCGAAAAGAGUAAGAAGUUAACUGAAAAACAGGGAUCUGAGGGGAUGGUGGUGGUAAUAGGCAGAGGACUGUGGGAAAGAGAGAAGAAGAAACAAGAAGAGAAUGAAUCAAGGUGAAACUGGGACAAGGCAAAGACCUUAUGCAAGGCCUAGAACUGGAAGGAAGUACAUGAUCAAGUUGUUAAGAUUAGGAGGCUGGGUAAACAGCACCUGCUGGAGACAAGGGUUCAGAAAAGCUCUAAGUGGAAGAGGGAUGGGAUAACAAAAUUCUCCUUAUUUGAAAAAGGGGAAAAAGAAAAGAACCCAGCCAAAAUUUAGCUGUAGUUUUCCAGCCAAGCCACCAUAUGCUUUAAAAACAGUAAAUUCUUGUGUAAUUGCAUCAACAAAGUUGAAGUAAUAAGUAUACUUAGAUACAAUUAUUAAUUCCAUGUGAUAAUGCAUUGUGAAAAUUGCUUCAUGUCCACACAGUUCGUGUAUGCUCAUAAAUUAUGCCUUUCAUCAAACUUGAAGAUUUAAUUCAGUAACAGGACUGAAAGCAAUCAAGUUCAGUGUCUUAGAAUUUAGUAACCCAUGCACCAAUGUUUAAAGGGAACGCAGCUAACUGAACCAUUCCAACAGCAGAGCCCUGUGAAGAACAAGACAAGCACAUAUUCUGUGGAAUUCAGAAAGUUUGAAUGGCAAUAUCCUGUGCCAAACUUCAUGCACAGAAUGAAUGGCUUCAUUCGCAUGUAACAUGAAACCAGAAGUCCCUUCACCUCCGGUUUUGGAAACUGUACGUCCAAAUGUUGGCAAGCUCAGUUUUGCAAAAGUUUUCUCAGUUUUUCAAAAAGGUUUUCCAUUCCUUAUUGAAUACUGACACCUGAUAAUCAGCUAUUCUGAAAUACAACUCAGAAAACUCAGAUUUGGUAUACCUCAUAGAAAAAGAGAUUCAAGAAAUUUCUACCAAACAAAAACUGAUGGUUUCUGAUAUGUUGUCCACACAUCAUUAGUUGCCCAGCAGAGACACAUGUCCUUUUUGAGAAAAUUGAAGAUGUGUGUUCUUCUUCAAAUGAUGCCGGAGAAUCCUGAGAUUUCUGGUGGUUUCUCCAGGACAUUACCUGAGGGGGCUAGGGCACCACACCCCUAUUGGGGGACCUGGCUGCAGGGCUUCAGCGGACAAAUAGCACCCUGAAGAGAAGGGCUCAGGAGUAGUAGCUGCCUUCUUUCCCUGAGACCGGCUAGAAAAAGAGGACGAGAGGAAAUCCUCUGUAUUUUAUCCUUGGAUAAAUCAGUACCAGCAAUAAGAGAUCUCUCUGCAUACUUCACAAGAGAUGCACUCUUAUGAUAUAGAAGUUGCCUCCCCAC